AUCCGAUUGGCCUGAUCUCGCGCGACACACCUCCAAUCCCCCUGUCAAUCCCGCCGCCUCCUCCCUCGCGACGCGCUCCCCCACUCCUCCCUCCUCCCUCCUAGGCGAUGGCCGACGGAUCCAGCAGUGGUGCCGGCGCCGGUGCCGGUGGCUCGUCUCCCCACUUGUGCGCGGCGGCGACGGCGGCGACUCGGCCCUGCCGCCGCUGCAUCGCACGGCGUUCGGCGUGGUCGAGGCCGCUCGAGGCCGUCGACUUCGGCGCCCACGCUGGCACGCACCGGCGGCUCGGCGUUGAGGACCACAUCACCUUCCAUCCCUCCCUUCCCCAAUCCCCUUCGGCCAUCCGCAUCGCGCCGCCCUCCGAAUCCUCGCUCCUUCCCUCCACGCUUCCUUCCUCGGCGGAGGGCGAGCAUCCAGAGCCAUCGAUAGGGGCGGAAGCGGAGCAGCAGAUGUGGUGGACCCGAGUUCCCCGUUCGCAUCGCCUGCCAUCCCGAUCCUUGCUCCCCCGGACUAAGAGUAGGGGUCUGAGCGGCGGCGGGCCGGAGUUCGGUCCUACAGGAGCUUCUGCAGAUGGAUCGAAGUCCUAGCAAUAGCCUAUGCGCAUGCGGAAGGGGAUGGAGGGUCCGCUGGCUGCGCUGGGCGUGUGACGAUGCUCUUCGUGCAGUAUUCCCGGCCAACAUCUGCUUGAUGAAAUGCGAUAACUUGAAGGCUCUUGCUGAUCCCUGCAUCGACUGUGAACUCAUGGUACGAUGAUCAUCUUGAUUGAUCUGAUCCUGCAGAAGACAAGGGCGUACCACCAUAUUCUGUUUAAUAAGCUUAGCAUGUGGGAUUAUCUGUUGACAAGGUAUGAAUCUAUGAUGUUCAGACAGAUUAACAUUCCAUCCUCACUGGUGUUCUUAUUGGCAUUUGAGGCAAUUAGUUUGCUAAAUAUGUAAUUGGUACUGCUGAGCUACCAUUUCAUUGUUUGCACAUGGUCAUGUAAUAGUUAUAAUGCACCUUUUUUUGUACAUCGGUGCAUAUACUAGAGUAAAAUGGUUCCUGGAUAAUGUGGAAAAGAAUCUGGCCAAUAUAUAUAUGUUUAUAUCUAGGAUAUAUUUAUUCUGGCUUUGUUUUCUGGAUAAUCCUCUCUUUGUUUUCUGACUUAGCGGGCAUUGCUCUGUAGUAUGUUGUUCAAGUAAUAAAGGAAUAUAAUUCACAAGGUGAAGAAUUCUAUCACAAUGUACCCAUUCAAUUGCCCAAUGCCCGUGUCAUCUGUUUGUUGUCUUCUCAGGUUAGUGGAUAUGUCUGUAAGACAACUAGCAUCAAAGAUGGUGUAAAUCAGUUUGAUCUUUGGCAGAGGAAGCAGUAGCUUGUUUUCAGGCAUUGGUUGACUUUCUAUGCUCCCUUAUGAGCAGCAAUGAUGAUGGAAGAAUAAUUGUUGCAAAGCAAAAGCUCAAUCAACAACCUGAAGAAGCAUAUCUUAAAUUUGUGAUGCUUUGUGCGGAAAAAUAUUUUCAGAGAUACUAUACCUUGACAUUUUGUGUUGCUGAAAGGAUAUGCCGUAGCUACUUAUGAGUUUUUGUUCAUUACCUGUUGCAGGUCACUCGAGAUGCUUAUGCUGUUAUCCUGGCUGGUGGAAACCUCCAGCCUAUUGAAGAAACUAGGCUACGCUUGUGUCCAAGCUUACCACCAGCUGAUAUAAAAUUCUUUCAGGCAAGUAUAAAAUUUCACAAGCCCUGAAUUUUGCUUUCUUAACAGUUCUUGUUGGUGUUAAUUUCUGGUUCUUGCCUAUGAGUGUGUUGGAACAACUGGUUAUUGCAUGAGCAGCGUGCAUUAUUACAAUUGGUCACUUCUUUUUACCUGUACCUAUCAGUGCGGGAUGUGCUUGUUGCACCAGCUGGUUCUUUCUUAGAUGGUUCUCUGAAAGUGCUAAAUUUUGUAAGAUUCAGGUUUUUUCUGUGGUUACAUAAUCUUUAUUUUAUUUCAAGGUUUACUCUUAGAUGUACAAUAUUUAUUUGGUUUAGGAUUUAUUCUUAUUUCAGAAUUGUUAUUUUUAUUUCAGAUUCUCCAGUGUAGAUUUUUUUUUGCUGUACAGUGUGUAACUGAUGUAAAAUAUAUCAAUGUAUUUUAGUGUCAUGAAUUUUUUUAAGUUCCAUAUUAGGCCUCCAAUGGAUAGCAACAUUGAGUGGAGGAUAGAGGAAGGCAAAAGGCAGCUCGCUAAAAAAUAUUUCUUGUGUUGUUUGUCGAUGAAUUAUAUUACUACUAGAUUCUUCUAUUUUUCCUUCAUAGUCUUAUUGAGGUCAGUUCAGUAAUAGAACAUGCCUGGUAUGAUAAGAAUUUUUUUUGUGAUUUAAGUAGCUGAACUUUUAUAUUUUAUUCAUCAAAACUACUACACACGGUUUCUUAGUAUAAAUGAAGCCCUAAUUUAUUUAUAGAAAAAUUCAGGCAUUGAACCCAGUCUAUUUAAGGUUCAAGCAUUUAUAGAAAAACUACUACACCUGAAUUAAGGUUCGGGGGGCACACUUUGCUAAUGUGCAGAUUCAUAGCAAGGUUGUGAAACAUGUAAUUUUAAACCCAAUCUAUUUAAAUCAGGUUCUCCCAAUUAUUUACAUGGAUUAUUUUUCUGCCCCUAUAUUUCAGAAUCUUACCCUAUUGUCAAAGAGGUCUACUGUCUAAUAGACCAAUAUUUUUCAGAUGUCAUGGCAAGGAGGGGCCAAGGUCUGGUGCUACUGCCAGGACAUCAUAUUAGAUUGUAAUUUCAGUGAGAUCAUGUAGUGUGAUGUGAGAAAUGUCUUCUUCAUCCAUUGCCAUGGAUGGAUGGCAGACCAAAAGGCAGUACUCGUGGGGUUGUAACACUUUUAUAAUGUUCUAUCCAAUUCAAGCUUUUAAAUUUAUUACUUUGCGAGAAACCAAACUACCGAGUUGUACUCACAUUUUCUUAUCCCAAAGAAGGAACCAAGUUGAACAAGGUUCCUCUUCUUCGUCAUUUAAACGUUUGUUGAUUGUUAUGUGCGUGGAUUUGUUGGAUGGACACAACACACAACCUUAUUAAAGAUACAUAUAAUAUAAUGUGUGGAUGAAAAUAAUUAUGGUA